rnacentral:rRNA from 1 species
GACGAACGCUGGCGGCGUGCUUAACACAUGCAAGUCGAACGGAAAGGCCCUGCUUUUGUGGGGUGCUCGAGUGGCGAACGAGUGGGUAACACGUGAGUAACCUGCCCUUGACUUUGUGAUAACUUCAGGAAACUGGGGCUAAUACCGGAUAGGAUCUCCUGCUGCAUGGUGGGGGUUGGAAAGUUUCGGCGGUUCGGGCUGUACUCGCGGGGUAUCAGCUUGAUGGUGGGGUAGUGGCUGACCAAGGCUUUGACGGGUAGCCGGCCUGAGAGGGUGACCGGCCACAUUGGGACUGAGAUACGGCCCAGACUGCUACGGGAGGAAGCAGUGGGGAAUAUUGCACAAUGGGCGGCAGCCUGAUGCAGCAACUCCGCGUGCGGGAUGACGGCCUUCGGGUUGUAAACCGCUUUCGCCUGUGACGAAGCGUGAGUGACGGUAAUGGGUAAAGAAGCACCGGCUAACUACGUG